rnacentral:lncRNA from 1 species
GAUCGAUCGAGCUGGAAGCAGCUUUCCCACAAAGUACAGUAGCAGGUCAAGGCAGGUAUACAGACAUGAUCGAUUUUACAUGAUGGCGCACGCUUGGGGAUUUUCUUCACCGAAACAAUCGGGGCGUGUCAUGCAGUAACUACUAGUGGCAUAGCUCCUCCCACCGCCGUAACUAUCAUACACUGGCCCACCGUAACCAUACCCAGUUUGGCAGGGACCACCCGGAUGCCCUCCGUAACAAUCCAUACAACACUCGCUCACCGUCACCGGAGGGUAAGCCGGAACCAGAAACAGAACCGGCUCUUCCUUCGGCUUCUCUGCCUUCUUGGGUUCGUCUUUAGGCCUUUCAGCCUCCUUCGGUGUCCCUUUAGGCUUGUCAGCAUCUAUUGGUUUCUUUUUAGGCUCCUCUUUCUUCUUCUCCUCUGGUUUCGCUUUAGGCUUCUCCUCCUUUGGUUUCUCUUUGGGCUUCUCGGGCUCUUUGAUGUCGAUGCUCUUGAUGGCGCCACCUCCUUUGCAGCAUAGCUUGUCUCUGAUCUUCUCAGGACUGCAGCAGACCACCUUGAUGAUCACCUGGUUGUUCUUCUCGUCGUACGUCUGGUCUCGUAUUUCUCUUGUUCACAAAAUCCAACCAAUACCAGAAACCACACUCAAUUUACGUUUUUUUGUUUUCUCUGCUAAAAUACACAACGUACCAGAAUGGAAGAGAAAAGAAGAAACUCACGAGGGAAUUUACAGAGAACUUUCUUAACCUUCUUGUAGCAUUUUUCACACUGAAGGUCCACCUUCAGAACCAUUAUCGUCACCUGAUGACAUUAAUACAAUCAUUUUUGCAGAAAUUAGAUAGGUAUAGAGAAUGGUUAAUUACUUCUUCUUCUUUUUUAUGUAGAAGAAGAAGUGAGUAAUUAAGAAUGGAUCGAAGAUGAUUUGAAGAUCGAUGAGGAAUCGAAUCGAUCUCUGUGUUUCUGACAGAAGAAUGAUGAGUCGGGUAUAGGCGACAAAUUGAAGAAGAAAGAGCCAAAAGCUUGAGAAUUAAAAAGUGAGGAGCAGCAGCCACAAAAAAUAAAAAUUGAGAGGAGCAGAUUUGAUGCAAUGGGCAAUCAAUCUACUUAUCUAUAUGAUGAGGAAAAAGAGCUGGAAAAGCAUAAACAACUUUCUAGUAGCUAAUGUUAAGAAAGAAAUACCUUUUUUUCCCCCAUUGUUGCAGCAGUGAGAUGGGAUCUGAUGUUCUUUGUGAACGGAACCUCCCAGCUAAAAUGAUUGAAUAGGACGGGAGUCAGUGACCCGAGUUGGCAUAUAAAUUGAGCAGCUGGCGGNNNNNNNNNNNNNNNNNNNNNNNNNNNNNNNNNNNNNNNNNNNNNNNNNNNNNNNNNNNNNNNNNNNNNNNNNNNNNNNNNNNNNNNNNNNNNNNNNNNNNNNNNNNNNNNNNNNNNNNNNNNNNNNNNNNNNNNNNNNCUCUCUCUCUCUCUCUCUCUCUCUCUCUCUCUGAUCUGAAACUUUUCCUCUCUCUCUUUCACCGAUGCCACCCUCCUUCGCCGAUGCCAUCCCACCCGCCGCUUCAUCUCCGGCUCCGACGAGGUCCGGGAGCUGCCGGAAAACGACUGCAAGAUCUGAACGAUCGCAUCCACCAAGACCCGAGGGGCCGGGCUCGUCAUUCUCAUCGACGACAUCCACUUCGGUCAAGUCCAGUGAGCCCGUCGUUGUCGCCGCCGUCGGUCAACAUCUGCACCGUUUCACAUUGGCGCUGCCUCGAGGAUCCGCGACCGAGAUGUUACCAUCGAGAUAGGACGACUCCGGAGAAGCGUUGCGCUACUACGAGUCCGAAGAGCAGCGUUCUGGUCGUUCUCCAACGUCGUCUGCACACCGUCGCUUGGAAACGUCGAUGCGAGCUGAGCUUGACGAGGCCGACGAAGAUGGAGUCGGGAGGGAAGGUGGAGGCGGCGCCAGGGAGAGGAGGCUUGGUGUUGGUGGAUUUGGAGCGGAGGAGCUCGGUGAGGACGGUCAGGAUGCGCUUGGAGUCCACGUGGACGGUGAAGAGGUUGGGGACGUUGGCGGGGUAGGCGCGGAUGACCUCCGGCUGAUCAAUCUCCUCGAUUGAAAUCCCUCAAAACUUAGGCAGGUGCAUGGCUUUGACUAGUUUUUCUCUCUAUUUUUAUGAGAUGAGAAUUUGAGAAAAGAGGAAGGGUGAAUAGGAAAAGGGACGGUGGAAUAUUGAACGUUGACGAUGUUUAUUAGUCCAGUUGUUUUGUUUUCUGAGUCCUUUCGAACUUAAAAAUGUAUGUUUAAAAUGAUUAUUGACUGACAGUAACUGAUUAUUGGGGGUCAGUAACUGAUUAUGUUCUAAUAUUUCUUUUUUCUAGUAUUAUUAAGCUGAAAUAAGUUGAUUAUUGGGGGUCAGUAAUUGAUUAUUAGAGGUUAGUAACACGAUUAUUAGGGGUCAGUAACUGGUUAUUGGGGUCAGUAACUGGUUACUGGGUGUCAGUAACUAACUGGUUACUGGGUGUCAGUAACUGGUUAUUAGGUGUCAGUAACUGGUUACUAGGUGUCAGUAACUGGUCAGUUAGUGGUUACUGGGUGUCAGUAACUAGUUAUUGGGGGUUAGUAACUGAUUAUUAUGAGUCAUUAACUUGUCAGUAACUGGUUAUUGGGAGUCAGUAACUAGUUACAGGGGAAAUUCCGGAGUCCGGCGAUCGAGGAAAUUCUGGUGACCGGAGUCCGGCGGUCGGGGAAAUUCCAGUGACCGGAGUCCGGCGGCCGGUGACCAGAGUCCGGUGAGAUUCCGGCCAAGUAUUCUCUCUUUUAUUUUCUCUCUCUAUGCAUAUGUAAGAGGUGAGGGCAAAAUAGUCUUAAAAUAAUAUGGUUAAUUUGUUAAGACUUUAGUAAAUAUUUGUGUAUUUUGGCAUAAAGAUUUGUGCAUUUGGACAUAAAAAAAUGCAUCUUAUAUUGAAAUGGGCUAAUGAAAAAGAUUUUCAUUGGAAUAAAAAUAAAAAUUUAAAUUAGUACUAAAUUGACAUUCUAAUGCAAUAGAAUGGUCUGAAUGUGGAGGAUGGACCAAAUUAAUACCGCAGUAAUAUGAUUAGGGUGUCAUUCACCCGGCCACAUCUUGUUGUUUUCGAUUCAAGUAUCAAGCACCCACAUGGCACAUGGAGCAUCCCACAACUGUCCCCGGCGCUAGUAGUUGCCACCGUCCAUCUUCGGACUAGCAAAUUGUUAUGGAUCAUUCUCCUUACCAUGAUCCACGACGUAUUACCAAGAAUACAUGAUAAGCCAUUGUUUCCCCCUUUCUUUUGCGUCUGUGACUAUCAGGACCGGGAGAGAUGAGGUUUAUUGGUCUAUGGUGUGGUGAGGGUACGGUACAUGGUUCGUUAUGGUGUUUCCUGCCUAUCCACCGUUGCAUAUGUGCGAUCGGCGUAUGAAUUUAGGUUAUAUAUAUAUAUAUUUUUUUUUUUCAUUUUAAAUGGUGGGCCUCGCAGCCAACAAAUGCCCGUCACACAUUAACCGUUAGCCCUGUAUGGUCUCCGCCUGGCCCAUAUAAAUAAUUUGUUUUUUAUAUUCUUUUUCUUUCUUUUUUAAAUGGUGGACCCCGCAUUUUGCGUGUAGCGAACCGCCUAGCCCCAAAUGAUCUCCGCCUAAUCCAUAUAAAUUAUUUUUCGUUUAUAUUUUUUUUCCUCUUAAAAUCUGGGAAGAAACCUUUAGCGGCCUUACUGUUGUUGUUGCACAGCCGACUUCUCCGUCUCCGCCACGUAAUUGGACUACGGCCAUGGUCAUAUGUCUAAACUUAACAUGUAUGUGUUGAAUUGAAGUUUCUGAGUCAGAAGGCUGUUAGAGUCAUCGAUUGCAGGUAUAUAUGGUAUAUUAUUGCCGUAUAUAUAUUGGUUGAUUGUUUAGUUUCCGAGUUGUUGUUAAGGAUCGGGUUAAAAAGAUUGAGCAUUAUAUUAUAGCUAUUUAUAGCUAUAAACAGCACAUUGCAUAUCCAUUGAUGAAUUUAUGUUAGUGAUGCAUGUUGGAAUGAAAACUGAUCGGUGUUGGCUAGUUUGGAAUGAAAACUGAUUUGGUGUUAGCAAGUUUCAAUUGAAUAAAGUUUGAAUUGCAUUUUGUAUAUUCUAGAUUAAGUUAUUAAUUGUCGCUUCUGCAUGUUGGUUUUAUUCUUGUUUUAGGACAUUUUAAUCAGGUUUCAUUUUUUGUAUAUGUUACUAUUGAAUUUGUUGUGCUAGGUUUCUUGGUUCUACUUGCUGAUGAUGAAGUUUAGGUCCUGGCAAAGUUGAUAAUUUUGUAAGCUUGUAGGUGUUUUGCCUUGUGUCAUGGUCCAUUACGAAGGGUGAUGAUCCUGCAAAUGCAGCCUUCUCGGAAGUAAGUUAAUCUCAUGAAAUUAUCUCAUCUUUUUAAUCCUUGUCAGAGCUCUAUACAUUUUUUGGUUUAAGCAUACCAGCUUGUGUUUCAAGUCAAAUUUAUUGUUUGAGAUUCAUAUCUUUUGUUUAGUCUCUGUUGUUUUACUUUUAUUCGUCUCUUUGUCCAAUUGUUAUAAGAUCCGAAAACGUUAUAUAAGAUACUAGAUUGAGAAUGUUCCAAGUUCUAAAACACCACAUAAUGUUUCGUUUCGUGCAAAGGGACCUGAGACUGGAAGUCAAGUACCAUAUGGCCUUGCAGGGGAGAGUAGUCUGGUUAAACGUGAUUGACCCAGAUUUCACUGAAAUUCUUAGGAAUGACUAGAAUCUAGUUAAACAUGCAGUUGCCCCGUUGCCCUCAUGGACCUUGUGAGAAUGUGAGUGAAAGCAGCUUCCAGUGUUCCAUUUGAGCCAUAAGUUGGGCCUUUCUGCAACGGUCACCUUGGAGGACCAUUAAGGAACCAAACAAGUGGAUCGGCCCAUUUAUGAUCUUAGCCCUAGUCUAAGCAAGAACAAUAAGAGAGAGACUUGCAUGUCAAACUAUUCACUUCUUUCAUACAUGUAUGCAUAGGAAGUAAGUAAUGGCAAACAGAUGGUAUUAUGUAGGUGAUUGUAAAUCGAACAUAAACAUAUGGUUCCAUUCAAACCGAAGGAAUAUAAUGUACAACUUUUAGUGGGCUAAUUAACACGCAUAUCAAAGUUGCUUCUCUAGCUAGUAAAAGAACUAAGAACAACGUACCCUUAUUAUACUACUCAACAGUCGUUCAUAAAUUAAACAAACUCCAGAUUUUGAGUAAUAGAAAAUGGAGUUGCAUUGGACUUGUCCUACUUCUUUGUCGGCAAUAGACGGUGUGUAUGAGUGCAAUCGCAGCAGCAUCGAAUAUUUUAACUAGUUUGUAGGCUUGGGGAUCGUUCUUUCAUGUGAAUCAAUCACACAUAUAGUUGACCUAAUUUCAUACUCGCCCACUUUUUAUACUUAGAUGCAUCCAUCGCAUGGAGAUCGAGUUGGAGACCUAGCUAGCUAGCUCAUCUUAAUUAUUGGUACCAAAUUCUUCCAACAAAUGGACAAAUAAUUCAAAAAAAUAUAUGCAUAUGUGCACAGGACAAAAUUCAUAUGCAAUUUGAUGGAACUUUUAUUUCAUUAAUGGAAUAAAGAUUGUAACAACUUCUUCUUCUUCUUCUUCUUGUAGCUAGCUCUAUAAUGGAUGGCUGGCAUGGCUAACCUGAUCGUGACAUAUCCACCACCAUCACCAUUGAUCACCAACCAUGCUUUAUUAUUUUACUUUUGUUCUAUAUAUAAAAAACAACACCAACUUUAACGUACACUGUAAAAAUGGAGACACCGAUCGAUCGAGCUGGAAGCAGUUUUCCCACAAAGUAUAGUAGAAGGUCAAGGCAGGUAUACAGAUAUGAUCGAUUUUACAUGAUGGCGCACGCUUGGGGAUUUUCUUCACUGAAACAAUCAGGGCGUGUCACGCAGUAACUACUAGUGGCGUAGCUCCUCCCACCGCCGUAACUAUCGUACACUGGCCUUCCAUAGUAGCCGUCGUACUGUAUGUAUGGUGCUGCCCCACCGUAACCGUACCCAGUUUGGCAGGGACCACCCGGAUGCCCUCCGUAACAUUCCAUACAACACGCGUUCACCGUCACCGGAGGGUAAGCAGUAACCGGAGGCUGAGUAGGCUGAGAAGGCUUCGGCUUCUCUGCGUCCUUGGGUUUCUCUUUAGGUUUUUCAGCCUCUUUAGGUUUCUCAGCCUCCUUUGGUUUCUCAGCCUCUUUUGGUUUCUCUUUAGGCUUUUCAGCCUCUUUAGGUUUCUCAGCCUCCUUUGGUUUCUCUUUAGGCUUCUCAGCCUCCUUUGGUUUCUCUUUAGGCUUCUCAGGCUCCUUGGGCUUGGGCUUCUCGGGCGGCAAGAUGUCGAUGCUCUUGAUGGCGCCACCUCCUUUGCAGCAUAGCUUGUCUCUGAUCUUCUCAGGACUGCAGCAGACCACCUUGAUGAUCACCUGGUUGUUCUUCUCGUCGUACGCCUGGUCUCGUAUUUCUCUUGUUCACAAAAUCCAACCAAUACCAGAAACCACACUCAAUUUACGUUUUUUUGUUUUCUCUGCUAAAAUACACAACGUACCAGAAUGGAAGAGAAAAGAAGAGACUCACGAGGGAAUUUACACAGAACUUUCUUAACCUUCUUGUAGCAUUUUUCACACUGAAGGUCCACCUUCAGAACCAUUAUCGUCACCUGAUGACAUUAAUACAAUCAUUUUUGCAGAAAUUAGAUAGGUAUAGAAUGGUUAAUUACUUCUUCUUCUUCUUCUUCUUUUUUUCUGCAGAAGAAGAAGUGAGUAAUUAAGAAUGGAUCGAAGAUGAUUUGAAGAUGGAUGAGGAAUUUUAUCCAUCAGGUUCUGUGUUUCUGACAGAAGAAUGAUGAGUCGGUUAUAGGCGACAAAUUGAAGAAGAAAGAGCCAAAAGCUUGAGAAUUAAAAAGUGAGGAGCAGCAGCCACAAAAAAUAAAAAUUGAGAGGAGCAGAUUUGAUGCAAUGGGCAAUCAAUCUACUUAUCUAUAUGAUGAGGAAAAAGAGCUGGAAAAGCAUAAACAACUUUCUAGUAGCUAAUGUUAAGAGAGAAAUACCUUUUUUUCCCCCAUUGUUGCAGCAGUGAGAUGGGAUCUGAUGUUCUUUGUGAACGGAACCUUCCCAGCUAAAAUGAUUGAAUAGGACGGGAGUCAGUGACCCGAGUUGGCAUAUAAAUUGAGCAGNNNNNNNNNNNNNNNNNNNNNNNNNNNNNNNNNNNNNNNNNNNNNNNNNNNNNNNNNNNNNNNNNNNNNNNNNNNNNNNNNNNNNNNNNNNNNNNNNNNNNNNNNNNNNNNNNNNNNNNNNNNNNNNNNNNNNNNNNNNNNNNNNNNNNNNNNNNNNNNNNNNNNNNNNNNNNNNNNNNNNNNNNNNNNNNNNNNNNNNNNNNNNNNNNNNNNNNNNNNNNNNNNNNNNNNNNNNNNNNNNNNNNNNNNNNNNNNNNNNNNNNNNNNNNNNNNNNNNNNNNNNNNNNNNNNNNNNNNNNNNNNNNNNNNNNNNNNNNNNNNNNNNNNNNNNNNNNNNUUUUUUUUUUUGGUCAAGAAAAAAAAAAGGGAACCAUUUAGCAAUGUUGACAUAUGCAUGGAGGUGAAACUUUCAAAAACCGCGGGCUCCAGAUAUUGACGAUUGCACGUUUCUUACACCCAGGGUCUUCGAUCUAUUACAUCUUCAUCAUGGAAAAUUAAAUUAUUAUGUUACGUACAUACAUGGAUAUGUGAUGUGGGAGUGGUUCUAAAAAUAACUAUUUAGUUGAAUAUUUUUUUAUUAAUAGUUUAUUACAUAUAUUUUUCAAUUAAUUUUUUAUCUCAACCGUUUAGUUUUUAAUAGAUCAUUUUUUUAAAUUUUCAACCAAAUUUUUGAUCGUUAAGGAAUCGAACUUAAUCAAAUCAAUUGACGAUCCUUAUCUAUUAAAUAUGAGUCGUUCAAGUUUAUAAUCGGUAAAUCACAUUUAUGAAUAUCUCAACGAUUUUAAAUUUAGAUAAAAAUUUAUAGAGAUGAUAUUUUCAUAUAUAUUUACAAAUUAGGCGGUCGAGAUGUGAACAUGUGAUUGAAAACGGAGUGAAACAAAGAAAUUUUCAAUUAGUCUUCAACUUAGUGGUCCUCGUUAGAACCACUCUCAUGUGAUACAAACAUACUUUAUUACGAGGCAAAAUUUUCCUAUCACACCAUCACCACCCUACUAGCACAUGUUCUUUUUUUCUUAGUUGUAUGUAUCAUAUACCUAUAACCUAUCUUCAUAGUAGAUAAUCCCCUUCAUCAUACAUACACGUGUUGUGUUUACACAGCUAUAUUCAAAAACUUAAUUUUAAGAUUAACCUCAUCGUCAUUCUAAUUUAAAAAUAAUAUUAUGAAAUAGCAUGUGAUCGACCUUUGGCUCUUUACUGAUGAUUGUAUUUGUGUGACUGUCUCCUCAAUUUGAUUCUUCGUCCCAUAAAAAUAAUAUAUAAGCGUAAUUAGUCUUUGUACGUAGUAUCAUCGAUCUUAUACGUACAUGGCCAUGCAUUUAUCCGUUGUAAUAUCACUGGUUAUUUGUUGAUGAGCAGACUAUAUGAUAGGUAGCUAUGUAGCAAAUUACUCAAUUCCGAGCACAAAAAUACAGCAAUCAAUUGUUUGUCUUGAUCGGUAGUCUCACUCAAUCACAUACGUAAGUGACCGGAUCACUCAUGCAUGACUCAGCUAGACCUAGAGCUGGAGGGUGGUGUCUUCAUAAGAAGUUGAAAUCUGUGAACACAGCCAUCGAAUAAAUUCAACAAAGUCCUCAGUAGUGGGCAUCGGACAACAACCUUACGCAACUUAGGCUCCAUCGAUCUCAUCAUAUAUGCUUUACAAAUAUUUCUUCUGCCGACAAUUUCACACAUUUUACAAGCCCAUAUGCCAGUCUUCUUAAAUAUAACCAAGAUAUGCCUUCCACUUAGCCCAAUGCAAUGGACCUAAUAUUAAGCCCACGCUAUAUAUGCACAAUCCGGGCCUCCCAUCUAUUCUGUACGGGAAUUAUGAUCGGUACGGUGAGUUUGAGACUCUGACCAGCAUCGUCGACGAUCCAAUGACUCGAUUCAUACACCAUUCAUGUACAAAAAACGAUACGAGUCUAUAACCAAUUUUUCAUCGAGUUUAUUGAGGCUACUGUGCACUUUGAACUCUGCACGACUCAUGCAUCUUCAAUCAUGUACGUGUAGCUAACUGAACCUGAAUCAAAUUCACACUCUUUAAAAUUAGUACUAAAUGAACAUACCUGUUCUCUUCAUUACAUAUCAGUGUAGCCGAUAUCAGCACACAUAGACAAAAGGGUGUUAUAGAGAAUUACAUUCAACUCCAUUCCCUUCUCCUUCAUCUCCUUGGCAAAGAGCCCUUGCUGAUCAUCUCUCGGUAAAUUUUCUUGGCCUGCCAAGGCCUCUUAGCUCUUCCCAUAGAAUCCAACAAAGUAUUAUAAAUAACCAUGUUCGGCUUAACCCAAAUUGCCUUCAUUUCCUCGUAAACUUUCAAGCACCCAUCAUAAUUCCCUGAUUGCCCGUGAAUCUUAAUCAACGUUGCAAAUGUCACUGGAUCAAUGCGCCAUUUCUCUGUCCUAGCGCAGUCAUACAAGCUAAAAGCCUUGUCAACAUUACCGGCACGGCCAUAUGCAUCGAUCAUAGCCGAAUAGGUAACAUCAUCAGGACUACACCCGUAACUAGGCAUCUUCUCAAACCACUCCACAGCCUUAUCAGGCAGAUAACACAUCCUAGCACAGCUAAUCAUAGUCGAAAACGUAACAUUAUCAGGUGUAACACCUCUCUCAAGCAUCUCAUUAAACAGCUUCUCUGCUCUCACUAAAUCCUUACACUUUCUAAACACUUUCAAUGUCACAUUGUAGAGAACCACUUCCCUCUUAGGUUUGAACAUGUGCUGAAAGUACUUUAGAGCAAGUAACGCAUUUUCGGGGUUACCAUGGUAUUAAGAACAACGACAGCAUCUUGUUCCAAAACCCCAUCACCUAAAGUCUUUAAAAUAUCAAAAACAUCACUUUCACUUAGGCAGACAGAGUUCAAGGACUCAGCUACUUUGACUAAAGAAGUGUACCUGGAAUCGUAGGACUUGUUCCUAAGAUGAGAAGCCCUGGGGCUGCUGGGAUUGACCCAAACAUAGCUUUUGGAGGAAGACUCGGAAUUUCCAUCGGGGUUUUCAGUUUUUGGGGUUUCUUGUAAAGAAACAUGGUUUAUUUGGAGAGAAAUUGUGGAGUGAAGAGUAGGGAAGGUGAGAUUGAAGGUGUGAGUAUCAGAGGUGGUUGGCCUGAGCUUUCUAGAGGAGGAGAGAGAGUGAGAGAGAAAGAGAGACGAGGGUGUGGAGGAUACAUGAUAAGCCAUUGUUUCCCUCUUUGUUUUGCGUCUGUGACUAUCAGGACCGAAGAGAGAGAUGAGGUUUAAUGGUCUCUGGUGUGGUGAGGGUACAUGGUUCGUUAUGGUGUUUCCUGCUUCUCCACCGUUGGAUAUAUGGGAUCGGCGUAUGAUUUUAGUUUAUAUUUGUUUUUUUUUUUCGUUUUAAAUGGUGGAUCUCGCAGCCCACAAAGGGCCGCCACACGUGGACCGCCUAGCCCUGUUUUGUCUCCGCCUAGCCCAUAGAAAUUAUUUUUUCUUUUGUAUUUUCUUUUUCUUUUUUUUAAAUCAUGGACCCCGUAUUCUGUUAAGGCCCGCUACACGUGGACCGCCUAGCGCCAUAUGGUCUCAGCCUAGCCCAUAUAAAUUACUUUUCUUUUAUAUUUUUUUUCCUCUAAAAAUCUGGGAUGAAACCUUUGGCGGCCUUGUUGUUGUUGUGUAGCCGACUUCUCCGUCUCCGCCGCGUAAUUGGACGGCAACCAUAGUCAUCUGUCUAAACAUAACAUGUAUGUGCCGAAUUGAGGUUUCUGAGUCGGAAGGUUGUUAGUCAUCGAUUGCAGGUAUAUAUGGUAUAUUACUGCCGUAUGUAUAUUGAUUGAUUUGUUUAGUUUCCGAGUUGAUUGUCAUGGAUUGGGUUAAAAAAGUUGAGCAUUAUAUUAUAGCUAUUUAUAGCUAUAAACAACACAUUGCAUAUCCAUUGAUGCAUAUAUGUUAGUGAUGUUUGAAUGAAAACUGAUUCGGUGUCGGCAAGUUUAUAAUGAAAACUGAUUUGGUGUUAGCAAGUUUCAGUUGAAUAAAGUUUGAAUUGCAUUUUGUAUAUUAUAGAUUAAGUUAUUAGUAGUCGCUUAUGCGUAUUGGUUUUAUUCUUGUUUUUGGUUUAAUCAGGUUUCAUUUUCUGUAUAUGUUACUAUUGAAUUUGUUGUGCUAGCAGGUUUCUUGGUUCUACUUGCUGAUGAUGAAGUUUAGGUAGCUGAUAAUUUUGUAAGCUUGUAGGUGUUUUGCCUUGUGUCAUGGUCCGCUGCGGAGGGUGGAUGAUCCAGCAAAUGCAGCCUGCUUGGAAGUAAGUUAAUCUCAUGAAAUUAUCUCAUGUUUUUAAUCUUUGUUAGAGCUCUAUACAUUUUUUUGUUUGAGCAUACCAGUUUCUGUGUCAAGUCAAGUUUACUGCUUGGGAUUCAGAUCUUCUAUUUAGUCUCUGUUGUUUUACUUUUAUUCGUCUCUUUGUCCAAUUGUUAUAAGAUAAAAAAAUAAAAAAAGGUUAUAUAAGAUGCUAGAUUGAGAAUGUCCCAAGUUCUAAAACACCACAUAAUGUUUCGUUUUGUACAAAAGGACCUGAAACACUGAAGGAAGAUGGUACGUAACUUAUUGUUCCUGGAAUCCAUAACUUUACAUCAACAACUUAUUGUUCCUGUAACAACUUAUUCUUCUUCUUGUACCUCUAUAAUGGAUGGCUGGCACCGUGGCGUAGCUAGCUAGGGGUCAAACGGUUCAAUUGAACCCUCUCAGAUUUUGAAAAAGCUUAAUUAGCUAGCCUUAAUGAACAAACAUAAAUUGACAUUUCUUCUUUGAGAAAUCCUUAAUUAAUCUUAAAUAUUCUUCAACACCAAUAGAAUGAAAUAAAAAUUUAUACUAUUAAAAUACUUAAUCUAAUUAAUACAAAUCAUGUAAAUAGUUUCUUACCUUACUAACGUGUACUUUAAUGCUUUGAAUUCCAUUUACGAUUUUUUUUUUCAUUACAAAUAAGCUAAAUGGAAGCAACACAUUAAUGUUUACUAUGCAUUGACACUAUCUCUAGAAAAAGAAAAGGCAACAUAUUUUUCUCAAUAUUUAUCGUGCAUGAAAUUUCAAAAUUUAUUUAAGAUGAUUAUCGUGCUAGCUAGAGAGUGAUUGAAAAUAAAUUUAAUUUAUUAGGUAAUAAAUUUUGACCAUUCUAAAUAACAUUUCUAGCUACGCCACAGAGGGACGGCUACCUGAUCGUGACAUAUCCACCACCAUCACCAUUGAUCACCAACCAUACUUUAUUAUUUACUUUUGUUCUAUAUAUAAAAAACAACACCAACUUUAAAAAACAACACCAACCUUAAAAAUAGAGAUCGGUCGAGCUGGAAGCAGCUUUCCCACAAAGUACAAUAGCAGGUCAAGGCAGGUAGACAGACAUGAUCGAUUUUACAUGAUGGCGCACGCUUGGGGAUUUUCUUCACUGAAACAAUCGGGGCGUGUCACGCAGUAACUACUAGUGGAGUAGCUCCUCCCACCGCCGUAACUAUCAUACACUGGCCUUCCAUAGUAGCCAUCGUACUCUAUGUAUGGUGCUGCCCCACCGUAACCGUACCCAGUUUGGCAAGGACCACCC